rnacentral:SRP_RNA from 1 species
GCCGGGUGUGGUGGCACGCACCUGUAAUCCUAGCUACUUGGGAGGCUGAGGCAGGAGAAUUGCUUGAACCUGGGAGGCGGAGGUUGCAGUGAGCCGAGAUCGCGCCACUGCACUCUAGCCUGGGUGACAGAGUGAGACUCUGUCUCAA